rnacentral:tRNA from 1 species
UGCCCGGUCGUCUAAUGGUAGGACACGAGACUCUGAAUCUCGGUAUCGGGGUUCGAAUCCCUGCUGGGCAA